rnacentral:rRNA from 1 species
GAGGGGCUCGCGGCCUAUCAGCUAGUUGGUGAGGUAACGGCUCACCAAGGCGAUGACGGGUAGCUGGUCUGAGAGGACGACCAGCCACACGGGAACUGAGACACGGUCCCGACUCCUACGGGAGGCAGCAGUGGGGAAUUUUCCGCAAUGGGCGAAAGCCUGACGGAGUGACGCCGCGUGGGGGACGAAGGCCUUCGGGCCGUAAACCCCUGUCAGAGGGAAAGAAGGGUGUCGGCGUGAACAACGCCGCCAUCUGACGGUACCUUCAGAGGAAGCCCCGGCCAACUCUGUGCCAGCAGCCGCGGUAAGACAGAGGGGGCAAGCGUUGCUCGGAAUUACUGGGCGUAAAGGGCGCGUAGGCGGGAUGGCAAGUCGGUCGUGAAAUCCUUCGGCUCAACCGAAGAACGUCGGCCGAUACUGCCGUUCUUGAGGGAUGCAGAGGAGACUGGAAUUCCCGGUGUAGCGGUGAAAUGUGUAGAGAUCGGGAGG